UAAAACAGGUAAAAAUACCCUGAAAUCUCCUAUAUUACGUUCCAGAAACAUCUAAAAUCCACGCGCUUGGCGGCAGCUGUCAUCGCCACUCUCUCUCCCCCUUCCCUCCCAUCCCCUCUCUCCCUCACCCAUGGCUAGGGUUCCGAGCAAGCAUGAACGUGAUCAAGCUCUGGAUUUCCAGGGGUUUUUGAAUAACUUGCAGGAUUGGGAACUUUCGCUCAAGCACGGAGAUAAAAAGAUGAAGCCACCAGCUUCUGACAAGAAAACUGGUGAGGGUAGAAGAUCAGCAGGAAAUACUUCUGCAGUUGAUUCUUCUGGAAGCAAUUCAGGACAACAUGAUUAUUCAAGGGAAUUUGAUGCUAUUGAUCGCAUAUCAAAUAGUUUCAUGACUGAAGAAAGCUCUGUGGAUGCUACUUCAGAGAAAGAAUUGGGUAAUGAGUACUUUAAGCAGAAAAAGUUUAAGGAAGCUAUUGAAUGCUAUUCAAGAAGUAUAGCCUUGUCACCCACAGCAGUAGCCUAUGCAAAUAGGGCAAUGGCCUAUCUUAAAAUCAGAAAAUUUCAGGAAGCUGAGAAUGACUGUACGGAGGCUUUGAAUCUGGAUGAUCGCUACAUAAAGGCAUACUCACGCCGAGCCACAGCUAGAAAGGAAUUGGGAAGAUUUAAAGAGUCCAUUGAGGAUUCAGAGUUUGCCUUGAGGUUGGAACCUAAUAACCAGGAAAUCAAGAAACAGUAUACUGAGGUCAAAUCAUUGUAUGAGAAGGAGAUUCUCCACAAGGUAUCUGGGGCAGUAAGAAGCUCUGGGAAAGGAAUGCAGAAAGGAGAAAGAUUGGACACAAAAAUUAAUGGACAUGAUGUCAAUUCUGUUUCAAGUGGAACUCAAAGAACUGGCGUAUCUACGGGUCAAAAAGACAAGAAUAAGGGAAGUGUUGGAGAGGUUAUCCUUAAGAAGUCCACAUCAGUGGAGGAAAUAAAAAAUGCAAGCUCAAGAGCUGGCAGCAGAACUGAAAAUCAAGCCAAUGUUUCUUAUACUGAUGCUACUUCAAGUUCUCAUGAGGAGAGUGUCCAGUUAAGCUUUUGCAGAUAUAUCACAGAAAGGAAAAGCAAGAGCUUAAGGCUUCAAUACAAGAGCUUGCUUCUCGAGCAGCUUCUCGUGCUAUGGCUGAAGCUGCAAAAAACAUCACCCCUCCAAAUUCAGCUUAUCAAUUUGAAGUUGUUUGGCGAGGCUUUUCUGGUGAUCGUGCAUUGCAGACUCGCCUCUUGAAGGCUACAUCUCCAAGUGCCUUACCACAGAUAUUCAAAAAUGCAUUGACGGCUUCUAUGCUAAUUGACAUCAUUAAGUGCGUUGCCUCCUUUUUCGUUGAUGAUAUAAAUUUGGCUGUCAAGUAUCUGGAGAAUUUGGUCAAAGUCCCAAGAUUCAACAUGCUUAUCAUGUGUCUUUCAGCUGCCGAGAAGGCUGAUCUCGUAAAAACGUGGGAUGAAGUAUUUUGUGGCGAAGCAGCACCAAUUGAGCAUGCAGAGAUUCUUGAUGACCUACGAUCUAAAUACUGCCUCAAGUGAUGACAGGUGUACUGAUAGAGAGGAAAUUAAGGAAAAUUUUGAUCCCCGUGCUUCAUUUUUUCAAUGUCGUGUCUUCAUUCAUGUAACAAAUUUAAAUCCUUUACCUCAUCUGUUCGUUGAUAGGAGAAGCUAACAGUGUCGUUUUGGUUCAGGUUUCAUCACCUGUUUUGCUCAUUUCAUGCUUACAUCACCAUAUUCUGUGAAGGGUGAAGUUGUUAGCAUCAAAAUCCCGCAUGGUUGAUGAAAUCAAAUAUAUAAAGAAACUCCUUUUCAUCGUUAACUACGAUUUUUUGGCUGCAUGGAGUUUGGCAUAUUUAUUUUUUCAGAUCGUAUGUGUACAUUCUUUAUGUAAAGUGAACAUUGAGUUUUGGAUUGGUUUUAAA